GGUUGAUCCUGCCGGAGGUCACUGCUAUCGGGGUUCGAUUAAGCCAUGCGAGUCGAGAGGGUUCAGACCCUCGGCGGACUGCUCAGUAACACGUGGAUAAUCUGCCCUAUGGUGGAGGAUAACCCCGGGAAACUGGGGAUAAUACUCCAUAAGUCAGGAGUACUGGAAUGUCUCCUAACUGAAAGUUGCGGCGCCAUAGGAUGAAUCUGCGGCCGAUUAGGUAGUUGUUGGGGUAACGGCCCAACAAGCCCGUAAUCGGUACGGGUUGUGGGAGCAAGAGCCCGGAGAUGGAAUCUGAGACACGAUUCCAGGCCCUACGGGGCGCAGCAGGCGCGAAAACUUUACAAUGCAGGAAACUGUGAUAAGGGAACCCCGAGUGCCCGUACACGCGGGCUGUCCCGGUGUUUAAAACACAUCGGAAGAAAGGGCCGGGCAAGACCGGUGCCAGCCGCCGCGGUAAUACCGGCGGCUCGAGUGGUGACCACUUUUAUUGGGCUUAAAGCGUUCGUAGCUUGAUUUUUAAGUCUCUUGGGAAAUCUCACGGCUUAACUGUGAGGCGUCUAAGAGAUACUGGGAAUCUAGGGACCGGGAGAGGUAAGAGGUACUUCAGGGGUAGAAGUGAAAUUCUGUAAUCCUUGAGGGACCACCGAUGGCGAAGGCAUCUUACCAGAACGGCUUCGACAGUGAGGAACGAAAGCUGGGGGAGCGAACGGGAUUAGAUACCCCGGUAGUCCCAGCCGUAAACUAUGCGCGUUAGGUGUGCCUGUAACUACGAGUUACCGGGGUGCCGAAGUGAAAACGUGAAACGUGCCGCCUGGGAAGUACGGUCGCAAGGCUGAAACUUAAAGGAAUUGGCGGGGGAGCACCACAACGGGUGGAGCCUGCGGUUUAAUUGGACUCAACGCCGGGCAGCUCACCGGAUAGGACAGCGGAAUGAUAGCCGGGCUGAAGACCUUGCUUGACCAGCUGAGAGGAGGUGCAUGGCCGUCGUCAGUUCGUACUGUGAAGCAUCCUGUUUAGUCAGGCAACGAGCGAGACCCCU
rnacentral:rRNA from 1 species